AUGUCCUCCCAAUUCAAAAAAGUGUCCACUGCGUGUGCGGCUCUGCUUUACUUGAUGUAUGUAUCGGAUAGACUAGCUUUGCCUCACCACACCACACCAUUGCCACUCUCGUCCUCCUCCAGUCCGGCCUCCGCUGUAUUGGACUGCACCGGCGCCGGUGCCGGCCGGGCUGCAGACCGGUCGACUCCUUCGCCUUGCCCGGCCUCCUCGCAGACACGGCUUUGGAGAUUCAAAGAAUUUACGUUACUAGACAAUUCAUGCAUAUAUGAAGUCCUACUUGUAGGUGAGCCUAGCAGUGCUAUUCUUAUGUGCAGUAUGGCACGGACAACUGCAGAUCAGGCAAUGGCGACACGUAAGUUGGUCGUAAAGGUCGUCGGUGCUCACGGCCUGGCACACAGCAAGAGGGGUUUACCCAGUGCAUUUGUUGUGCUUUCGUUUGAUUCUCAGCAGUUCCGCACGAGUGUCAAGGAGAAUAAUGAGAACCCGGUAUGGAACGACACCUUCUGCUUCAACGUGUUGGAUCGACCCAAGAUUCAUGAGCUAGUUCUUCAAGUUUGUGUGUAUGACACCAAUACGUCUGUUCAAGGCGAAAUGUCUUUGAUUGGAAAAGUCAAAGUAAAUGGGGCCUCAUUCCGGCCCUGUGACAAAGGACCAUCAAAUUAUCCGCUGAGGCUUGGGAAUGUUAAACAUACAUGGCGCAUACGUGACAGAAGAGGAUCUUCAGAGAUAGUUCAGAGGUAG
rnacentral:rRNA from 1 species